rnacentral:lncRNA from 1 species
UUUGCAAGAGGGAAAACAUGUCCAAGACAGUGGUAAACUGGUAAUGGAUUAAAUGAAGAAGCAAGCAGAGACAAUGGUAACGACGGUAAGUUCCGUCGAGACAGAGGAAACCUCUUCAGGUGAUUUGGUGGAGAAAGAGAGUAUACAGUGAUUGUAGGUGAAAAACUUGGAGUUCAAUUAUCAAGGAUCGCUUCACAUAUUUGUGGGUUUGGGGUAUCCAACGAAGCGGGGUUGGGUUCAUGAAAUUAAAAGGAAUCAUAAAAUUACUUUUUUGGGAUUGCAAGAAGAAACACAGUUCAGGGACAUUGCAGGUUUAAAUCUUUAAGCAAAUCAGGGUAACCGAAUUUUCAAUUUGAUUUUGUUGAAGCUCAAGGUAGAUCGGGUGGAAUUGUAAGUUUUUCGGAUCCAAUCAUUAUCACAAAGACUAAUGUAAUAAAGAACAAAUUCUUUUUGUUGAUUUCUGGGAAGGUUAAAGGUCAUGAUACUUUGUUCCAUAUUCUCAACGUGUAUGCGCCGCAAGGGGUUUUGGCAAAACAGGUUUUAUGGGAUGAUAUUAAGUCCUCUUAUCAAGGAUGUUGGGUAAUUUUUGGAGGACUUUAAUGUUGUCCGGAGGAAAGGAGGAAUUCUAAUUUCAAUGUGACUAGCGCAAAGACUUUAAUGAUUUAAUUUUUUUUGCAAGUCUCUCGGAAUUAUAUAUAUAUAUAUAUAUUAAACCCAUUAAGUGUAACUGUUUUUCAAAUCAUUCUCUGCCAUUGGAUCUUGCUGAAAUGAAAUCUUGACCAUUUAAACUCCAUAGGGGUGAGCAAGUUUAGGUCCGGACCGAAAAUAACCGAGAACCGAACCGAAAAAUACCCAACCCGACCUGAACCUAAGUACCUAGGUAUUUAGAUCGGUUCCAAUUUUUCAUAUAAAAUAGGGUCGGGUCGGGUCGGUUCUCGGUUCUUUUCAUGGUGAAACCCGACUUGAACCUAUGGACCGGAACCGGCCCUAUAUUUAGGGUAGUGAAUCGGUUCUGUAUUUUAUGUUUGGUCGGUUCUCGGGUCGGGUCGGGUAAUGGUCGGGUAGGGUCGGGUUUUUCUUUUGCUCACCCCUAAAACUCCAUAUUUUAACUGCUAACAUAGCAGUUCACGGCAGUUUCCUAGCCUCCGCCUUUUCCUACCCAUGUUUUCCACGAAUCACGUUUCCCCCAAAAUUGGAUCGUGGGUUCAAUGCAGUUGCGGAUGGGUAGAAAGUAGUUGCCGAGCAGCCUUAUAUAAUGUAAACCCUUGAAUCAAAAAGGUCAUACCUUCAAUCGUUUGAUUUAUGGGUUAAUAUUGAUUUGAAGUCUUGAAGGUAAUAUGUCUAUUAUCCUAUUUAUUGCUCACUUGAUUGAUUCCCUCGAACAAACUUCUGAAAUCUGGUGAGUUGCUUCUAAUUGAAUCCUUCAAUAAUAUCUUCUAAAAUCCAUUGUGUUAAUUACUUGAUGGAAGUGUUGAAGGUAAUUUUUCUGUCAUAAAUAAUUUCUGCCCUAAAUCGAUUUGCCCUAAUUAUGCUCUGGUCUAUUCUGUUAGUUUGUUCAAUAAACAUUGAUAGAUGUCAAGUAUGUUGAAAGUUUAAAUUUAUAAGUGUUUUUUUUUUCAGUGCUAAUUUUGUUGUUCAGUGUGUACUGACUGUAGUUGGUUUUUUGGUUAGGAUGAUGAAGAAGAAUCCUUAGGCACGAAAAGAAGAUGCGGCCACAUUGGGAGGUGUUUUGUAAGCAUUAAGUAUUCAUACAAAGAUGGUGAAUCUGAAAAUUUUGAUUGUUGUAGGCCUCUAGUGAUGUUUCUAAUAAUAAUCUUUGUGGUAAGAUACCCUUUGAUGGCCCUUUCACAAGCUUCCCAAUCGACGGAAUUCAAACUUAAGGGUUAUAAAGACAAACUUCAAAAGUUGAGUGGGAUGGCAUGUUAAGUGGGUUCAAGCAAUUCGAAAAGGUGAAUCUUCUGGUCUUGAAAUCGCAGGUUGAAAUCCAUUUGUCAAAAUCAAAUUUGACUAUUUGAAGCAUAUCCAAAGUAAUUGAGAAUGAGUAUGGAUAUAUAUUGAAUUUCUGAUACAGAGUAUUGGACAUGUAUUAUUUAUGUUUAAUUAUCAUACAAGUUCUUUAUUGAUUAUUUAACCUAACUCAUUUAUGUGCUUUGGGCUGAAUUAUUUGUGAGAGCUUCCUUUAUUUGGAAUCCCUUGCUUACACACUGGUGUUUCUUUCUCAUGGUCGGUUGCCAUGGCACAGAUUCAGGUUGCAUUUCGUCUUUGAAUAUUCUUUUUAUUGUUUGAUUUGUAUAUUUUUGGUAUACUUACAUACUGACUUAACUGUUGUAGGGAUAAAGUGGAAGUAAUUCAAGGAAUAUCAAUAAAACAUAAUCAUCAUACACUUUAAUGUUUUAGGACUUUAUAUGUUUAAUUAGCUGUUUAUAUGUCAAAAUUUUCAUGUGUUUUACACUAUGUUUAUACAUAUAGUUUAACACCUAAAAGUUUUAUAAAAAUGAAAAUGAUUUUGUUUAUUUUUAUUUGUCUCUAAAUAUUCUGGAAAAAAAAUUGAAUUUUGCAGGGUUCAGCAGCUACAGAUGAAAGCUGUGAAUCUGUGAUCACCACUCCACAGCAGUCUCUAAGAGAUGCAAAUAACCCGGCUGGACUCCUCUCGAUUGCAGAAGAGACCUUGGCAGAGUUCCUUUCAAAGGCCACAGGAACUGCUGUCGAUUGGGUCCAGAUGCCUGGGAUGAAGGUAUGUGAUAUAUAUAGAGAAGGGGGGGUUAAGGUAAAAUGAAAACUUCUAUGAAUUGUGAGAACUUAAGAGAACUCUGGAUGAAUACCCAAAAGAGGAUCCACAAGGUGGUGAGGCUGAGUCUACUGAAUCAAUUUUAAAUGUUUCUGUUUAUUUGAAGUUCAGUUUCAUAUUAUCUUUUGAAUUUAAGAUAGUAGACUGUAGGUUUUGUGAAGUUAUCUUGAUCAUAUAUUCACAUAAUCGCAUUAGUGUAGUAUAAGAAACAACUAUCAUAGUAAUUUAUAAUAAUUAUAUGUUG